GUCGCCUACGGGAGGCAGCAGUGGGGAGUCUUCCGCAAUGGGCGAAAGCCUGACGGAGCAACGCCGCGUGAUCGAAUGAAGGCCUUCGGGUUGUAAAGAUCUGUUGACAGGGACGAAUAAGCAAUGCGAAUAGUUUUGUGUAUGACGGUACCUGUUUAGAAAGCUCCGGCUAACUACGUGCCAGCAGCCGCGGUAAUACGUAGGUGGCAAGCGUUAUCCGGAUUUAUUGGGUGUAAAGGGCGUGUAGGCGGGAAAGCAAGUCAGAUGUGAAAACUCAGGGCUCAACUCUGAGCCUGCAUUUGAAA
rnacentral:rRNA from 1 species